rnacentral:rRNA from 1 species
GUACACAAAAAUGCACAUACUGUGAGCUCGAUGAGUAGGGCGGGACACGUGGUAUCCUGUCUGAAUAUGGGGGGACCAUCCUCCAAGGCUAAAUACUCCUGACUGACCGAUAGUGAACCAGUACCGUGAGGGAAAGGCGAAAAGAACCCCGGCGAGGGGAGUGAAAAAGAACCUGAAACCGUGUACGUACAAGCAGUGGGAGCCUCUUAAUGGGGUGACUGCGUACCUUUUGUAUAAUGGGUCAGCGACUUAUAUUCUGUAGCAAGGUUAACCGAAUAGGGGAGCCGAAGGGAAACCGAGUCUUAACUGGGCGUUAAGUUGCAGGGUAUAGACCCGAAACCCGGUGAUCUAGCCAUGGGCAGGUUGAAGGUUGGGUAACACUAACUGGAGGACCGAACCGACUAAUGUUGAAAAAUUAGCGGAUGACUUGUGGCUGGGGGUGAAAGGCCAAUCAAACCGGGAGAUAGCUGGUUCUCCCCGAAAGCUAUUUAGGUAGCGCCUCGUGAAUUCAUCUCCGGGGGUAGAGCACUGUUUCGGCAAGGGGGUCAUCCCGACUUACCAACCCGAUGCAAACUGCGAAUACCGGAGAAUGUUAUCACGGGAGACACACGGCGGGUGCUAACGUCCGUCGUGAAGAGGGAAACAACCCAGACCGCCAGCUAAGGUCCCAAAGUCAUGGUUAAGUGGGAAACGAUGUGGGAAGGCCCAGACAGCCAGGAUGUUGGCUUAGAAGCAGCCAUCAUUUAAAGAAAGCGUAAUAGCUCACUGGUCGAGUCGGCCUGCGCGGAAGAUGUAACGGGGCUAAACCAUGCACCGAAGCUGCGGCAGCGACACUAUGUGUUGUUGGGUAGGGGAGCGUUCUGUAAGCCUGUGAAGGUGUACUGUGAGGUAUGCUGGAGGUAUCAGAAGUGCGAAUGCUGACAUAAGUAACGAUAAAGCGGGUGAAAAGCCCGCUCGCCGGAAGACCAAGGGUUCCUGUCCAACGUUAAUCGGGGCAGGGUGAGUCGACCCCUAAGGCGAGGCCGAAAGGCGUAGUCGAUGGGAAACAGGUUAAUAUUCCUGUACUUGGUGUUACUGCGAAGGGGGGACGGAGAAGGCUAUGUUGGCCGGGCGACGGUUGUCCCGGUUUAAGCGUGUAGGCUGGUUUUCCAGGCAAAUCCGGAAAAUCAAGGCUGAGGCGUGAUGACGAGGCACUACGGUGCUGAAGCAACAAAUGCCCUGCUUCCAGGAAAAGCCUCUAAGCAUCAGGUAACAUCAAAUCGUACCCCAAACCGACACAGGUGGUCAGGUAGAGAAUACCAAGGCGCUUGAGAGAACUCGGGUGAAGGAACUAGGCAAAAUGGUGCCGUAACUUCGGGAGAAGGCACGC